rnacentral:ribozyme from 1 species
UGCCUAGCAGCUCCUAUCUCUACCUCCUCGAGGUACUGGCCGAGGUACGAGCAACCUUAGGGUAGAUCGGGUAACCAACCCCGGUGGGAACUUUGUUCGUAUGCUGACAGGGAAGG